rnacentral:rRNA from 1 species
UUCCAGACUCCUACGGGAGGCAGCAGUGGGGAAUAUUGCACAAUGGGGGGAACCCUGAUGCAGCAACGCCGCGUGAGUGAAGAAGCCAUUCGUGAUGUAAGGCUCUACCAGCAGGGAAGAAAAUGACGGUACCUGAGUAAGAAGCCCCGGCUAACUACGUGCCAGCAGCCGCGGUAAUACGUAGGGGGCAAGCGUUAUCCGGAUUUACUGGGUGUAAAGGGAGCGUAGACGGCUGUGCAAGUCUGAAGUGAAAGGCAAGGGCUCAACCUUUGGACUGCUUUGGAAACUGUGCAGCUAGAGUGUCGGAGAGGCAAGUGGAAUUCCUAGUGUAGCGGUGAAAUGCGUAGAUAUUAGGAGGAACACCAGUGGCGAAGGCGGCUUGCUGGACGAUGACUGACGUUGAGGCUCGAAAGCGUGGGGAGCAAACAGGAUUAGAUACCCCAGUA